GCUUACGCCCAUACCACCCUGAGAACGCCCCAUCUCGUCCGAUCUUGGAAGCUAACAGGUCGGCCUGUAGUACUUGGAUGGGAGACCGCCUGGGAAUACCAGGUGCUGUAAGCU
rnacentral:rRNA from 1 species